AGAGUUUGAUCCUGGCUCAGGAUGAACGCUGGCGGCGUGCCUAAUACAUGCAAGUCGAACGAGGUGCUUUUGUAGCAAUACGAGAGUAUCCUAGUGGCGAACGGGUGAGUAACGCGUUGGUGACCUACCCCAAAGUGUGGGAUAACAGUCCGAAAGGAUUGCUAAUACCGCAUGUGGUCAUUGGAUUUAGAAACUGAUGACUAAAGGAGCAAUUCGCUUUGGGAGGGACCUGCGUCCCAUCAGCUAGUUGGUGAGGUAACGGCUCACCAAGGCUACGACGGGUAGGGGACCUGAGAGGGUGAUCCCCCACAAUGGAACUGAAACACGGUCCAUACACCUACGGGUGGCAGCAGUAGGGAAUAUUGCACAAUGGGCGAAAGCCUGAUGCAGCAACGCCGCGUGUGUGAUGAAGGCCUUCGGGUCGUAAAGCACUUUUCUGGGAGAUGAGAAAGGACAGUAUCCCAGGAAUAAGUCUCGGCUAACUACGUGCCAGCCGCCGCGGUAAUUC
rnacentral:rRNA from 1 species